rnacentral:lncRNA from 1 species
CAGACCCAUGUACACAGGCACAGAAGGUCCUUCACACCUGCUUUUCUGAGUCAGAACCCUGUUUCCUAGUUGUUCAGCUCUGCAGACACAGAAGAGCCAGUACUGCAGCAGUCUCUGCAGACACAUGACUUGCUGUGAAUAAUUACUUAUUUUGUCUUUUCUAGGCUUCUGCAACGUUAACUUCAUUCAAACUGGUGAGCAGCCUCGAGGUGGGCAAUGUGGAGGUUAUUUGCCUAAGGAGGAAUGCGGAGCUCGGAGAACUCCAGCAGCUUGCUCAAGAUCACACAGCAACUUAAUGGCCAAACUGGAACCAAGGGCCAAGACUCAGAACUUCCAGGGCAAUGUGAGUCUCCUACAAAACACCCUCAGAAGGAGUUCCCUUCGUGGCACAGUGGUAACGAACCCGACUAGGAUCCACGAGGUUGCGGGUUCGACCCCUGGCCUCGCUCCGUGGGUUAAGGAUCCGGCGUUGCUGUGAGCUGUGGUGUAGGUUGCAGAUGUGGCUCAGAUCCUGCGUUGCCGUGGCUGUGGUGCAGGCUGGUGGCUGCAGCUCCGAUUGGACCCCUAGCCUGGGAACCUCCAUAUGCCAAGGGUACAGCCCUAAAAAGCAAAAACAAACAAACAAAAAAACCCGAAAACAAAAACAACAACAACAAAAAACACAGCCUCGGAAGGAAAGGGGACACUGAAGGGCAGGAUUUAGUUUCUUCAUUUCCCUUCAAUAACUAGGCCCCUAACUCGGUCUUUGACGAGGAGGUGACAGUGACACAAUACGUCUGAACUUAGCGGAGCAGGGCAGCAGACCAGCAGGCAGAUUACAUCCUGGUGGCUACACAUGAUGGAAAACCGUGGAACAGAUGCCAGGGCAGCUGGCUGGGUGGUAGCUGGUGGGAAAUCGGUAACCACGGGACCUUGGCGAAUCGGUUUUUACAUAGAAGGAUGCUGUGUCCCCUGAGUUUUAUUGCUAAGACAGAACAACUUGAGUUCCCCUGCCACCUCUUCUGGGAAUGACUCUCUUCCCAACUCGGGGUGCUCACCUCCAGGGUAGCUCUCAGAGCGGUAACUUGGUCCGAAGGGGCAGCGCUAGUUCCAUCUCCUGAAGGAGAAAAACCUUUACCUUUAGGCAACCUGCAGUUGCUGAGGCUGCCACAUGGGGGCACUGUUGAAACGGAGCAGCUCUGUUGCCUAGAGGCAGUGCCCCGGGACCACCAGGCCACCACUGGUCUCCAGGACUGUCAGCAAUACCCGGCCCUAGGCACAGCCCCUGCCCUCUAAAUAAAUGGCCUUAUUGACCAGAGCACAUUCCCUCUGGCUGGUCCUGCCUGUGCUUCCCAAGGGGAUUUGGGAGAAGACUUUCUUGCAGAGUCCACGACGCAGAGGCCUGGACACCCAGCUCGGUGUUUCCACACACACUCAAACCUGGUCGCCUCACUUCCGAGGCCUGCCAGCAGUGUGCCAAGGUCGUGGGUUGGGAUGGGUUUGCAGGCCCAGGGAUAAAGUUGCCCUCUCUAGGCUCACUGGCGGAUAGCUCUUGGUUUGGGGCUGUACACUGCCCGUCUCUCUCCUGAAAGCAUCCCAGUUUCAUGAGUGGAAAUUGCCCCUCCCUGGCUGUCUUGGGGCAGGGGCACUUCUUGGCUCCUUCCUCCUACCACCGGCCUCCCCCCGCUGAAGUCAGAGAGGUCAGAUCCCUCCUCUCCUCACCUGGCUGCGUCAGUGGGGCGUCAGACGCUCUCCGCCGUGGCCUUCCAUUCUGCCAGAGCCAGUUCUCUUCGUGGCAAUAGCCGUUGUGUGUCACUGAUGCCGUCCUGACCUCUGUCCUGGUCAAAGGAGGUGGCCGGUGUUCCUCCUUCCUGCGUCUUGACCCACAGCGUUUCCUUGAUUCCUGCUGACCUAAGCCUGCGCUUCUGGUCUUUCAUCAGUUGUGUUAGCUCCCAGUGGCCUCCAAAAGAAAAAAAAGUCCCCUGCUGUCUCACUUCUGGUGCUCACACCGUGAAUACCGGGGGGGGAUGUCACCCCCAAGAACGGAGGUUCACGCUUUCACUCCUGACUCACCCCCGUUUGCUCCUGAGGACAGUCUGGGUGCCCCCCCCGCCCCGCCCCAGCAAAUCCCACUUACCCUAACCCUUCCCCGAUAAGGCAGACACAAAGGCGCGUGCUCCCCAGAUGUGGUCAGUGUUGGCGCGGGUGGUGAGACGGCUGGAGGCUCCGUUUCCCUCGAAAGCUCGCACUUGUCCCGUAGAAGAAUUUUCCCGUUUCCAUACGCUCCACUGGGUCGAUGAGAAGCAACAGCGUCUCUCUGUGUUUGUUCAAGGGCGGUGAGACAAACUGAAACAAUAACGCUCUUUUUGGUGCUGAAGGCGGCAGCCCCGUCCCCGCGCGGGUGUCCUUGAGAAGGGGACUCUCGGUGUGUGGCACCGCCCGCUGGCUGUUAUCGCCCGCCUCCUGGGUGGAUUUAUUGACAGAGCCAAGGGCAGAUCUCCCAGGCUUUGUGGCAGGCAUGUCUCAGGACACGUCCUCAGCCUCCUGUGCCCCAGGUCCCCCCACGCGCACCAGGAGGGAAACGGCACCGAACGACGCUAGGAGUUCUGCUGCUCGGUUCUGGGGCCUCUUGGAAGGUCAUUGCCUGGUGGGAGCCACACCCAGGAGAGAGCCCGGCGUCCCACUGUCUGGGUGGGAAGCGUUUAGUUGUGUCCCGGUGGACGGCACUUUUUGAGUUGCACACAGCAAAGCCCACCCCAAGCCGGCUUAAGCAAAAAGGGAAUUGAUUGCAAUCUGGUUGAUUUACAGUGUUACAGUAGUUUCAGGCGUACCACGAAGCGCUUCGAUGUUUUUGUCAAUUACACUCCAUCUAAAGGUUUUACAAGAUAAUGGUUAUAUUCCCUGUGAUGCACAAACAAGGGAAUGUAUUGACUCGUCUAACAGAAACACUGGCAUCUAAAUUCAGGCUUAGCUGGAUGCAGGGGCUAAGGAAGUGUUGUCAGGAUUCGGUCUCUCUCAGUCUCUUCUUCCGCCUCCUUUGCCUGCUUCAUCCUCAGGCACGCUUUUCCCACGCAAGACAAGCUGGGUGCCAGCAGCGCCAGGCUUGCAUCCUACCAGCUUAGCACUUCUUCCCAAGGGUUCCGGCGCGAGUCCAGGGCUGACUCUCCCUGGAGGGCCAAGUGACAUGCCCAUUGCUGGAACCACCCGCUCUCGGGAGCCAAGCUGCAGCCUCUGCUGAUCAGCCAGACUUGGUCCUGUUCUCGCUCCUGGAGUUGGGGGGCAGGGGGAGCCUCACUUCCACCUAUGACCCAAGAUGCAAGGCAGGGUGGCUCACUAAAGACAGGUCAGGAGCUGUGACCAGAGUGGGGAAUGACGCCGGGAGCGAAAAGACCCUCAGGCCCCACGCGGGUUCGUCUGGAUGGGUGGUUACCCAAGAGCGUGGCCCAGACUCGCAGCAUCCACCUCCCGUGGAAACUUGGGAGGAAGGCAGGUCCGUGGGCCCCACUGCAGACCCGCCUCAUGGAAGCGGUCUCCCCAGGUGAUCCAGAUGCAUGUUAAAGUUUGAAAACCACGCGUGCAGACCGGGGGGCUGGCCACCCUGACUUCAGUUAGAAUCACCAGGGGAGCUUCUAAGCUGCCUGGACCCCACUCCCAACCAACCGGAUCAUGACAAGGAGUACGGGGGGUGGGCUCCAGUCAGCGGUGCUUUUGACAUGUUCCACCAAGUGGUUCCAAUGGGGCCAAGCGCGACAGGGGCCCUGAGCUCAAAGGAACACUUGUUCUCGGUACUAUUUGUGCAGUGGACAUGAACGAGGGUGUGGACUGUCCCUCUGCUGCGGAUGGUGGCUUAGUAAAGGAGUGACUUGAGAGGUGGCACCUGCAGCCAAGCCAACGGAAACAACAAGGUGGGGGAUGGGAAUUCCCAUCGAGGCUCAGUGGCAACGAACCUGACUAGUAACCAUGAGGACACAGGUUCCAUCCCUGACCUCACUCAGCAGGUUGAGGAUCCAGCGUUGCCGUGAGCUAUGGGGUAGGUCCCAGAUAUGGCUCAGAUCCCGCAUUGCUGUGGCUGUGGUGUAGGCUGGCAGCUACAGCUCUGAUUUGACCCCUAGCCUGGGACGCUCCAUGUGCCGCAGGCGCAGCACUAAGAAGCAAAAUACAUAAAUAAAUAUUCUAAAAAAAAAAAACCAAAACCCAAAACAAAGUGAGGGAUGCAGGAGCCACUCAGCUGCAUGGAGUCUGAACUGGGAGUUCCCUGUGCUGUGAUAAAUGCGUCUUUACACCCUCACGGCUGAUUCAUUAAAGAGGAGGAGCAUGGAAGGGGGGAAUCAGAGGCACGGUUUAGUGAGUGCUUCCUGAAUUUGCUGACUUAAAUCUGACCUAGCCCCGUGCAGGAAGUGCUACUAACCCUAGCUGUAAUUCUGGGAGGCAGGUAACAUUACCCCUCCAGGGAGGAGAGCCUUGGGGUCAAAGAGAGCUCAGUGGCCGAGCUGGGACUUGCGUCUAGAGCUGUCGGGUUCCGAGACAGUGGGGUUCUCCAGUUAGGAGCAGGGCAUCUUGGGGAGGGGGUUAGAGGCAAAUUCUCUGAUUCCACGUGUUGUGAGGAAAGAGCACUGGCCUGGAAUCAGCCCCUGGGCUGCUCUCCCAGCGCCGCUCUUGCCUGGAGGUGGGACCCGGAGCACGUCACUUCCCUGGCUGGGGCCUCAGUCUCCUGACUUGUACAACAGGACAGCUUAAACCACCCCUGAGGUCUUGUCUUGUCUUUCUUCCUGGCUGGCUUUCUUUCUUUCCCCAUUCUUUUUGGAUGACGGUGUCAGGAAGUUUCCUGCAGAAGAGGUUUCCUCCUUCCCAGGAUCCUAAGACCUGUGUGGGAAGACUCCUGUGUUCCAGCCUGAGCAGGUGUUCGAGUCAUUCUGCUGUUGACUAAAACAUGGCUCCCUAGACCCGGAGUAAAUGAUUCCUGAUUUCCUGGAGUUCUCUUGCGGCGCCGCUGAUUAAGGAUUCAGCAUUGUCACUGCAGCAGCUCUGGUCACUGCUGGGACACAGGUUUGAGCCCUGGCCCAGGAACUUCCACAUACCGCAGGUGCAGCAAAAACCAAGAAACCAAAAAACCUGGAAGGAUUCCUGAUUUCCUAAGGCUUAGAGUCAGCACAGCUCAGGACUGCAGAAGUCACAGGACCUGACGCCAGCAUUUAUCCGUCACUGCUGCGCUCAGCUGCGUGCUGGGCAGUGAGGAAGACACAGAAAUGAUGGGGCAUCACCUGCUGCCAAAGAGGAGGGGCGCAGUUAGGAUGUGCUCCUGCAGAAGAACGCUCGGCCUGACAAACCUCAAGUGUGUGACGGCUUCCUCUGAGGGCGGCUCGCUGCGGAGCGUCGGGUCAGAUGGCCCCGGUGGGAAAGAUAGAGUUGGAAUACGUGUAAUUCGUGCAAUUAAAAGCCAAGAACGCACCCUUUCCAGAGCUGCGUGUUCCGCGAGCUUGGGGGCUCCGCCCGGGACCCACUGGCACAGGACCUGGCCCUCUGUGGCUGCUCAUCCCAUUGCUGAAUGAGUGCGAGGGCCCAGGAGACGUGUGUGCAGGAUGAAGCAGGGCACUCACGGGACCGCGGCGUUUGGAGGGUGCUGGGGUGGGGGCGAGGGCGCCCUGGGAAGAAGCGGGAGAAGGCACACGCUCCCUGCUGUCCUCCCGGCCCAAGGCUGCCAGCCCCCCCGUGGCCUCUGUGCUCCGUGGUUGAGGGGCCGAGCCUUCUGGAGAGCCAGAGGCGUUUCAGCAUCUCCCUGCUCCCCUCCCCCACUCAGCGCCCCUAGUUUUUGUCCUUCGCAGCCUCUCUUGAAGGCACUAGCUGGGGGCUUGUGCAAACCAGCUGUGCCUGAUUUUCCCCAGAACUGCUUUCUCAGCAAAGGCCAUCUGUGGGAAGAAGCUCCUCCCGUCCAGAGCUGCUAGAACCCUCUGCCGAGGACCAGGCCUGUGGCGGCUGCGGCAGAAGCACAUGGAGGCUCAGGAGGCCAAGUGCUUGGCUCCAGGGACAUCUGGCCACAGACGUGUCUCUCACGUGGGCAAACCGAGGGCACCCCUUGUUGGUAUGUCCUCCUUCCCCUGUGAAAGAUGACAUGAGUGGAGCCAUUUAAAAUAGAGCUGGAGGAGUUGAAGUCGUGGUGCAGUGGAAAUGAGUCUGAUGAGCAUCCAUGAGGACGCAGGUUCGAUCCCUGGCCUCGCUCCGUGGGCUAAGGACCAGGCAUUGCCGUGAGCUGUGGUGUAGGUUGCGGAUGUGGCUCGGAUUUGGCGUUACUGUGGCUGCGGUGUAGGCCAGCCACUACAGCUCCGAUUCAACCCCUAGCCUGGGAACCCCCAUAUGCCACGGGUGCGGCCCUAAAAAGCAAAUAAAUAAGUAAAUAAAAAUUAAAAACAAAUAAAAUAAAAUAGAGCUGGAGGAGUUCCCAUCAUGGUGCAGCAGGUUAAGGACCUGGCACUGCCACUGCUGUGGCUCAGGUCACUGCUAUGGCACAGGUUCGGUUCCUGGCCUGGGAAUGUGCACAUGCUACAGGCACGGCCAAAAAAAAA